rnacentral:rRNA from 1 species
AACGGCAGCAUAGAGAGCUUGCUCUCUGAUGGCGAGUGGCGAACGGGUGAGUAAUACAUCGGAACGUGUCCGUUUGUGGGGGACAACCACCCGAAAGGGUGGCUAAUACCGCAUAAGACCUGAGGGUGAAAGCCGGGGACCGCAAGGCCUGGCGCGAACGGAGCGGCCGAUGACUGAUUAGCUGGUUGGCGGGGUAAAGGCCCACCAAGGCGACGAUCAGUAGCUGGUCUGAGAGGACGACCAGCCACACUGGAACUGAGACACGGUCCAGACUCCUACGGGAGGCAGCAGUGGGGAAUUUUGGACAAUGGGGGCAACCCUGAUCCAGCCAUGCCGCGUGCGGGAAGAAGGCCUUCGGGUUGUAAACCGCUUUUGUCAGGGACGAAAAGGUGCGGGUUAAGAGCUAGCGCUGAUGACGGUACCUGAAGAAUAAGCACCGGCUAACUACGUGCCAGCAGCCGCGGUAAUACGUAGGGUGCGAGCGUUAAUCGGAAUUACUGGGCGUAAAGCGUGCGCAGGCGGUUGGGUAAGACAGAUGUGAAAUCCCCGGGCUUAACCUGGGAACUGCAUUUGUGACUGUCCGACUGGAGUAUGUCAGAGGGGGGUGGAAUUCCAAGUGUAGCAGUGAAAUGCGUAGAUAUUUGGAAGAACACCGAUGGCGAAGGCAGCCCCCUGGGGCAAAACUGAC